GAAUGUAUGAGAAUACUACUUGGAUAACCGUAGUAAUUCUAGAGCUAAUACAUGCAACGACGCCCGACCGUUUCACUACGGAAGGGCUGUAUUUAUUGGAUACCAAAACCAUCCUUCCCUCGGGAAGUUUUGUUUGAUGAUUCACAAUAACUGAUCGGAUCGCCACUGUGGUGGCGACAGGUCAUUCAACAUUCUGCCCUAUCAGCUUUCGAUGGUUGUGUAGUGGACAACCAUGGCCAUAACGGGUAACGGAGAAUCAGGGUUCGAUUCCGGAGAAGGAACUUGAGAAUUGGCUACUACAUCUAAGGAAGGCAGCAGGCGCGCAAAUUACCCAAUCCCGAUUCGGGGAGGUAGUGACAAAAAAUAACAAUACCGGGCCUUUUUGGGCUUGGUAAUUGGAAUGAGGGAGAGUUAAACGGACCAUCGAGUAUCCAUUGGAGGGCAAGUCUGGUGCCAGCAGCUGCGGUAAUACCAGCUCCAAUAGCGUAUAUUAAAGUUGUUGCAGUUAAAAAGCUCGUAGUUGGACUUGUGUGCGCUGUCCGCGGGUGGCCUGCGCCCAAAAGGGCGUUUCGGUUCGGCCCCGGAGGCGCCUUGAAAUCUGCAGCUGGGGGGACGUUGGCCUUAACUGGUCGGCGACCGCACGCCGGCUGCUCGGUUACUGUGAGAAAAUUAGAGUGUUCAAGGCAGGCAUUGGGUGCAAUUGAAUACAUUAGCAUGGAAUAAUAAAAUAUGGCUCCUGCCGUAUUUUGUUGGUUUUGACUGGUGGGAGUAAUGAUUGAUAGGGACGGUUGGGGGUGCUAGUAUUGAGCGGCCAGAGGUGAAAUUCAUGGAUUCGCUCAAGACUAACUUAUGCGAAAGCAUUCACCAAGGACGUCCUCUUUAAUCAAGAACGAAAGUUGGGUGAUCGAAGACGAUCAGAUACCGUCGUAGUCUCAACCAUAAACUAUGUCGACUUGGGAUCGGCGGUAGUUUUUUCAUUAAGACACUGUCGGGACCACGGGAGAAAUCAAAGUGUCUGGACUCUGGGGGAAGUAUGGUCGCAAGGCUGAAACUUGAAGGAAUUGACGGAAGGGCACCACCAGGAGUGGAGCCUGCGGCUUAAUUUGACCCAACACGGGGAAACUUACCAGGUCCAGAGAUGUAGAGGAUUGACAGAUUGAAGCUCUUUCUUGAUCACUUCGGUGGUGGUGCAUGGCCGUUCUUAGUUGGUGGAGUGAUUAGUCUGGUUAAUUCCGUUAACGAACGAGACCUCAGCCUGCUAGUGUAGUCGGCUGGAUUGC
rnacentral:rRNA from 1 species